CGUAGGGUGCGAGCGUUAAUCGGAAUUACUGGGCGUAAAGCGUGCGCAGGCGGUUAUAUAAGACAGAUGUGAAAUCCCCGGGCUCAACCUGGGAACUGCAUUUGUGACUGUAUAGCUAGAGUACGGCAGAGGGGGAUGGAAUUCCGCGUGUAGCAGUGAAAUGCGUAGAUAUGCGGAGGAACACCGAUGGCGAAGGCAAUCCCCUGGGCCUGUACUGACGCUCAUGCACGAAAGCGUGGGAAGCAAACAGGAUUAGAUACCCUGGUAGUCCACGCCCUAAACGAUGUCAACUGGUUGUUGGGUCUUCACUGACUCAGUAACGAAGCUAACGCGUGAAGUUGACCGCCUGGGGAUACGGCCGCAAGGUUG
rnacentral:rRNA from 1 species